AGAGUUUGAUCCUGGCUCAGGAUGAACGCUAGCGACAGGCUUAACACAUGCAAGUCGAGGGGCAGCAUGAUUUGUAGCAAUACAGAUUGAUGGCGACCGGCGCACGGGUGAGUAACGCGUAUGCAACUUACCUAUCAGAGGGGGAUAGCCCGGCGAAAGUCGGAUUAAUACCCCAUAAAACAGGGGUCCCGCAUGGGAAUAUUUGUUAAAGAUUCAUCGCUGAUAGAUAGGCAUGCGUUCCAUUAGGCAGUUGGCGGGGUAACGGCCCACCAAACCGACGAUGGAUAGGGGUUCUGAGAGGAAGGUCCCCCACAUUGGUACUGAGACACGGACCAAACUCCUACGGGAGGCAGCAGUGAGGAAUAUUGGUCAAUGGCCGAGAGGCUGAACCAGCCAAGUCGCGUGAGGGAUGAAGGUUCUAUGGAUCGUAAACCUCUUUUAUAAGGGAAUAAAGUGCGGGACGUGUCCCGUUUUGUAUGUACCUUAUGAAUAAGGAUCGGCUAACUCCGUGCCAGCAGCCGCGGUAAUACGGAGGAUCCGAGCGUUAUCCGGAUUUAUUGGGUUUAAAGGGAGCGUAGGUGGACUGGUAAGUCAGUUGUGAAAGUUUGCGGCUCAACCGUAAAAUUGCAGUUGAUACUGUCAGUCUUGAGUACAGUAGAGGUGGGCGGAAUUCGUGGUGUAGCGGUGAAAUGCUUAGAUAUCACGAAGAACUCCGAUUGCGAAGGCAGCUCACUGGAGCGCAACUGACGCUGAAGCUCGAAAGUGCGGGUAUCGAACAGGAUUAGAUACCCUGGUAGUCCGCACGGUAAACGAUGGAUGCCCGCUGUUGGUCUGAACAGGUCAGCGGCCAAGCGAAAGCAUUAAGCAUCCCACCUGGGGAGUACGCCGGCAACGGUGAAACUCAAAGGAAUUGACGGGGGCCCGCACAAGCGGAGGAACAUGU
rnacentral:rRNA from 1 species